UGAGGAAUAUUGGUCAAUGGACGAGAGUCUGAACCAGCCAAGUAGCGUGAAGGAUGACUGCCCUAUGGGUUGUAAACUUCUUUUAUACGGGAAUAAAGUGAGGCACGUGUGCCUUUUUGUAUGUACCGUAUGAAUAAGGAUCGGCUAACUCCGUGCCAGCAGCCGCGGUAAUACGGAGGAUCCGAGCGUUAUCCGGAUUUAUUGGGUUUAAAGGGAGCGUAGGCGGACGCUUAAGUCAGUUGUGAAAGUUUGCGGCUCAACCGUAAAAUUGCAGUUGAUACUGGGUGUCUUGAGUACAGUAGAGGCAGGCGGAAUUCGUGGUGUAGCGGUGAAAUGCUUAGAUAUCACGAAGAACUCCGAUUGCGAAGGCAGCCUGCUGGACUGUAACUGACGCUGAUGCUCGAAAGUGUGGGUAUCAAACAGGAUUAGAUACCCUGGUAGUCCACACAGUAAACGAUGAAUACUCGCUGUUUGCGAUAUACAGUAAGCGGCCAAGCGAAAGCGUUAAGUAUUCCACCUGGGGAGUACGCCGGCAACGGUGAAACUCAAAGGAAUUGACGGGGGCCCGCACAAGCGGAGGAACAUGUGGUUUAAUUCGAUGAUACGCGAGGAACCUUACCCGGGCUUGAAUUGCAACUGAAUGAUGUGGAGACAUGUCAGCCGCAAGGCAGUUGUGAAGGUGCUGCAUGGUUGUCGUCAGCUCGUGCCGUGAGGUGUCGGCUUAAGUGCCAUAACGAGCGCAACCCUUAUCGAUAGUUACCAUCAGGUUAUGCUGGGGACUCUGUCGAGACUGCCGUCGUAAGAUGUGAGGAAGGUGGGGAUGACGUCAAAUCAGCACGGCCCUUACGUCCGGGGCUACACACGUGUUACAAUGGGGGGUACAGAAGGCAGCUACACGGUGACGUGAUGCUAAUCCCUAAAGCCUCUCUCAGUUCGGAUUGGAGUCUGCAACCCGACUCCAUGAAGCUGGAUUCGCUAGUAAUCGCGCAUCAGCCACGGCGCGGUGAAUACGUUCCC
rnacentral:rRNA from 1 species